ACCAGGGUUGCAUCCCAAUGCCCCUUCUCCACAAACACCCCCACCCCAACUCGUUUCAUCUCCCGACUUCUCCUAUCCGAAGCGGAAUCAUAACCCUGUUUCAGCGAGUGUGCAUAACGGUGCCGGUCUAAUCGCCAAAAGGCAGCCUUUCUGGAGAUGAAAAGAAGAAGAAAACAAACCUGAAUCUGGGCGGAGUAGAAAAUGUACAGCAACUAUGCAGAGCAAUUGACAAACGGCUAAAGAGCAAGCAGCCCUCCCCCCCCCCGCUUUUCACCUCCCUUUCCCCCUGAUUGACUCGAGACCUCCUGGGACCCCGAGAGGAAAGGACCCCGAGGUCACCACCUCUGGAUUCUUCAAAGGCCCGGCCGCUUGGAGCAGCUGUCACAUCUCUCAUUGCCCACUGCCACAGAAGGGCCCUCAUCCAGAUGAUUGUGUGAACGAACAACCCUGCUGACCUGGAAAAAGAAUUCAGAAGAGGAGGAGGAGGAGAAGAAGACUUUUCAAUUUCCUUGACCAUGAUAUGGUCUUGGAAGCUCGGCAGAAAAAUUUAACUUAAAAAAACACACACGGAAGCAAAGGAGCAACAUGUCUUUAUUACAUAUUAUAUCACAGUCUCUCAAGCACAGUCUUGCAACAACUUCCUCCCUCACAUACGGAAACAUUUUUUUCCUUGCUCUACUGUAAAUUUUCCUUGUUCUGUUGUAAAAUCUACUGCAAUACUGUCAGAGAGCCUUUUGAAAACAGCACUCAAUGAAGAGCAUGUCUUUGCCACCCAGAGACGUACGUUUGGGUGGGGUAUAAAUUUGAUAAAUAAAUAAAAUAAAAUAAAUAUUUUAAAAAA